CCACCGAAGAACGCAUGCACAGUGUUUCCCAAAAGCCCUGUAUCCUUGGGAGCAACCAAGAUGUAAUCGGUCAGAGAAAUGGUUUCUUCCUGGAUCCAUGUGAGUUAAACUGUUGUGGGACUGGAGACACUCGCGCCUGCAGAGUUGUGGUGACAAGCAAGCCCUCCUCUUUGCUCCCUGUCUGAAGUCUGCAUAUUCCAUGAAUCCUUGAGGGAGCCUGAUUCUUAUAAGGCAGGGGUCACUAAAGGAACCACAACAGUGUCUCCCUUGGAGAAAAGGAAAGGAAAUCACCACCGUUUAAGAACGCCACAGAAUUCAUUCCCUUCAGAUACUGUCCGUGUGUGAGUUACACGUGCCAACUGCCAGGUAUUAGUUGUUUUUCCAGGCCCCAUUAAGGACUCUUCAUCCUGUCCAGCAAGAGGCAUUAAAGCUUUCACGAGUUAAAGUUGUUCCCAGCUCGGUGUUAUUCAAAGGCAAUUUACACUAAUUAUUCGAGUCCACAGCGUUACCCAUAUUAGCAGAACGAACCAUCUCAGCAGGAAGCUUCAAUAGCGACCCCUCCUGGCGACCCAAGCAGCUUACAUGGUACGAAACAGCGACUCCUCUUGGUGACCUGAACAGUUAACAAGAUACUAACUGCACUCGGCCAAAAAUGAGUGCGACUUUCAUUUCCUCCUUUCAUCCAGGCGCUCUACAAGCAUUCUUAUACAGUUGUAUACGCUCAUGCUCUGCCCUCCAGCCGCUCAAACGAUGAAGGUUAUCAAGGUGAAAAACAUCUAUUGAGAUGGAUGGAGAGGAGAGUGGGGCCCACCAGGAAGUGAGGUCGCAACUGACCAAACAAGCACGGUAAAAUAUUCACAAAGAUAAAUUAAAAAAAAAAAUCACAAAGCAUGGGGAAAGAGAACCGAAGGUUGAAAAAUAGCAAAUGUAAAAAGACCCCACGGCACACAAUAACAUCACACAUUCUGGGACCUGGAAAUUAAGUGGAAUAUCCCAGCAGUCCACAGCUGUCCACCCUGACAAGAUAAUAAAGGGGAGGGAGGCUAGAGAUAACACAGAGACUUAUCUCCAUUCAUAUGUCCUGGAAAUAUCGUGGACCCUGCAUUUUUGAGGCCUCCAAACUCUUUGAUCACCUAUCCGCACACACCCCUCACAAAGGUUUGAUCAUCACCUUCCUAUCUAGCUAUUAUGUGUUCCUCUGUUUCAAGCUAUGUAGUGCUACCCAGUAUUACUUGCUGUGCUCCCCAAAUGUUGGUUCUAAUAUUUCUCCCAUGCCAACGGAAUGUUGACCAUGUCAAAUGCCACCAAGUUGAUGGGGUCCAAGGACAUCCCCGUAUACCAUUACUGUCCAUCUCUGCAAGACUUAUAUUCCUCCAUCUCCUCUUGCCACCAGAGGCCUGACCACUCUCUAAGGGUCCUGACCCAGUCAGAACAAAACCAAAUGAGGUCCAAAGCAAUUCCAGCCAGCGGGACAGCCUGUCCUGUAUGUCCUCUGCCCACAGGGAACCUGGGUCUGUAUCCCAGAAUAUCUCUUCCCGUCUCUUUUGAGUUGAAUGCAUUUGUGAACCACUGCCAAGAUCCCCAAGAGUAUCCAUAAAUUCUAGAACCUAGAAUAUAGCUAGAUAUACAACAAGUCCCUAUGGGUUAACAUGUAGGUCAAUUAACAUAUGAUAUAACCAAAAUGAAUUCUGGUAGAAAUAAAAAUGUGAAAGUUAAAAUAAAGUCAGAAUCUAAUUAGUACUUUUCGUCGUCUUUUUUAGUUGACAACUUUUAGUUGUAUACUAAGCGUUCCUUACUUAAUGAAGUCCCCCAAAUAAAAUGUUUACACACACACACACAACUGUACUUCACUUUGCCUAUUACCUAUGCUAUCCCUGAAUGAUAUUAGCAUCCCAUAAUAGACUUCUGAAAGGUACUGCUAGAAAUCAAGAGUGACUUCUCUCUUCUGAAACUUUGCUCUGCACUAGAAUUGGUAUGAGGUCAUUGAAAGGAAUGUAUCCCUUUGGAAUCUGUAGAUGGCUAACAGAAUAGGAUGUCUUAUGCUGCAAUAAAUGAACAUGUGCACACCCAAAAAAAAAAAAAAAAAAAAA
rnacentral:lncRNA from 1 species